rnacentral:lncRNA from 1 species
AGGGGGCUCGCGGGUCUAAAUCAAAUUUUUUAUUUAAUAUAAGAUUUCGCUAUAUUUUUUCUAUAAAUGAACUUUAUCUUAUACUUAAUAGAAAAAUGAAAUAAAAAAAUUGGGUCACCGUUCAUUUACGCUCACAAUCUGUCUUCGAAAGAAGCAUACAUUUUUGUUAAUGUCCUUUUUUUCUGUUGAACUAAUAGGAGAGAUAGCGGUAAUAUCAAAAUAUAAAAAGAUUUAAAUAACAGAAAUCGCUUAAAUUUU